rfam:Algoriphagus sp. M8-2, complete genome.
GCGGAUGUGGCGAAAUUGGUAGACGCACUAGACUUAGGAUCUAGCGCCGCGAGGCAUGGGGGUUCGAGUCCCUCUAUCCGCA